GCAGUGGUGGGUUGCUGCUCGGAGCUUUCCUUUGAGCAAAAGCAGAGGGAUAACAAGUGUCUGCGGCCGCAGUGCACCCCCCGCCCUGCUCCAGCCCGGCUGGCGGCUCAGUGUAGCAUCCCGCCCUGCUCUUCCCUCACCCUGGCCCCGGCGCGGCCCUGCUUCCCCAGCCACGCUGAAGGCUUCUGCGCCCGCGCAGCCAGUUCUGUCACCGGGAGCACGCGAGGGGCGGCGCCAGGCCUCGGGUGGAAGGGGAUGCCCUGGUAUCCCUGAGCUGCUGCGAGUGGGGCCAGAGCGCAGCCGGGGCUGGGGCCGUUCCGGGAGGCUCGGGCGGGGCGGCAGGCUGCGUGACGGGGCAGCUCUUGACCCGGUCGUUGCGGGCUCUGCAGAUGACGCUGCCACGGCCCUUCGGUAGCGGUCCCAUGGCAUCUGCGCCGAACGUUCGCCACCGCCUCUCGCCCUCGGGUCUGACCGCUCCAUGGCUGUGCUCUUCUCCGUCCGUGACAUGAGCUCACUAAGACCUAAAAGCGCAACUGGCCGCUUCUCAGGCCACGGAGUGUUGGGCAGCGCCUCAGAACGCGGUGGCGUCAUGUGGCAGGCCCUGCACCCAGACAGUGAGCUAUUGGCGGUAGAGCAGCUUGGCUCCCGAGUUCUCGUGAUGAGGCUGGAGCUGGCAGUGUGAGCACGCUGAAGGGUAAAACAUUUUGGCCUGUCGUGUUGAAAGGAUUUUUUUAAGAAUUGACUAAUGGCACAAUUUACCCAUGGGAUUCCUGUCAACGUCUGUUUGAAAGAACAGUGUCUUUCUAGGAGGAAGGAACAAGAGAGUUUUGCCUUAUGGCUGUUCCAGGAAAGGCAGCAGCUUUCCGUCUGCCUCCACUGCCAACCGUUGGAGACAUUAUUAAACUGUUUCGCCUUAAAGCCCAGAAGCAGCUUUCACAGAACUUUCUGCUGGAUUUGCGGUUGACAGACAAGAUAGUGAAACAAGCUGGCAAGCUGAAAAAUGCCCAUGUUUGCGAAGUCGGCCCUGGGCCAGGAGGAAUUACCAGAUCCAUUCUCAGUGCUGGUGUUGAACAACUCCUUUUAAUUGAAAAAGAUGCUCGAUUUAUUCCAGGAUUGCAGAUGUUGUCUGAAGCAGCUCCAGGAAAAGUGCAAAUUGUUCAUGGAGAUAUCCUGACAUAUAAGAUGGAGAAGGCUUUUCCUAAGCAGUUAAAAAAGAACUGGGAGGAUGAGCCACCAGAUAUACAUAUCAUUGGGAACCUGCCCUUCAGCGUUUCAACUCCUCUAAUCAUUAAAUGGCUUGAAAAUGUUUCCAAAAAGGAUGGACCUUUCACUUAUGGCAGGACACAGAUGACAUUGACUUUUCAGAAGGAAGUCGCAGAGAGGCUUACAGCUAAUCCAGGAGGUAAACAACGUAGCAGACUGUCCAUCAUGUCUCAGCAUCUCUGCACUGUAGAAAACUGUUUCGUAAUUCCAGGUCAAGCCUUUGUUCCAAAGCCAGAGGUGGAUGUAGCUGUGGUACAUUUCACACCAUUGGUGCAACCAAAGAUACAGCAGCCGUUCAAGUUGGUAGAGAAAGUGGUACGAAGUGUCUUUCAAUUUAGAAGAAAAUACUGCUUCCGCGGACUCGAGACCUUGUUUCCUGAAAAUGGUCGUUUGAAAAGAACGGAACAGCUGAUGAUGACAGCAGAUGUUGAUCCAACUCUGCGUCCUGUCCAGCUCUCUAUGUCACAGUUUAGAAAUCUCUGCAAUACCUACAGGAAAAUGUGUGAUGAAGACCCAACCCUUUUUGAGUAUAAUUACAGAGAAGAGCUAAAGCAAAAGAAGAGGAAGAAUUUAACCUAAGUCCCAGUCAUCCUGAAGAGACUGAAGAGGAGAGUCACCAGUAACAGCUGUAAUUGCAGCAGACUGAUUUAUUUUUUUAGUAGUAAACUCCUUGAUCUAGAGGCUUGGAUUCAUUGAAAAGAGGCUUAUGUAUUCCUUAAAUAUAUUGCAGGGCUGCCCUUCUUUGGGCUCCGGUAGUCAUCCUCGUCCUCAUCAUCACUGAGAAUAUCGGACUCUUUGACAAGGACGUGAGAAAAGUCAGCUGCUGCGUGUUUCUCGGGAGAUGGAUGUUUGGGCUCCUGCACGCUGUCGGCGGUGUGGCAGCUGCUGCUCUGAGUGCUGCUGCUCAGGCUGCACUCAUCCGAGUCCUGGAAGGUGCCUUUCCCUGGCUCACCGUUCCACUCGCUGCUGGGUGAAUUCUUCAGUACCCUCAAGGACCUCGUGGAAGCUGUGCAGAGGAAAAAGGCAGGUUGGGUUUUUUUCAGCAAAACAUCGGCUGAGGAUACUGUCUGUCUGAAUAGCCCACUUGUAGUUAGCCUACUAGUCUCAUCUGCUAAUCAUCCCGGGGCAGAUGUGUCAGCAUUCAAAUACCAGCAGCGCCAUCCCCUGCCAGAGUUUUCAUUCUCCCUACCCCAGGGCUCUGCUCUUGCCUUCCUAUGCAAUACAUACAGAAUCCUCCAAAGACUGUAGCAACAGUUUAUACACAUCUGCAGCAAAGCAACACUGAUUCAGGCACCUCAAGCAUUGGAGGGCCAGGCCACAGGCAGGACCUAGACUGUGAUGUUAAGGGGGUUUUACAGACAAGUGAUCAGAUGGAGAACUUGAAGUGUCAGUAGCUACUCAUUUAACUAAAAUGUCAGAAGCUUGUACUUAA